UAAAUGCAGCAGCAGCAGCAGCAAAUGCAGCAGCAGCAGCAGUAAAUGCAGCAGCAGCAGGAGAAGUAGCAGGAGCAGCAGCAGUGGCAGCAGCGGCAGCAGUUGCUGCUGCUGCAGCAGUUGCUGCUGCUGCAGCAGUUGCUGCUGCUGCAGCAGUUGCUGCUGCUGCUGCAGCAGUUGCUGCUGCUGCUGCAGCAGUUGCUGCUGCUGCUGCUGCAGUUGCUGCUGCUGCUGCAGCAGUUGCUGCUGCUGCUGCACGCUUUC
rnacentral:sRNA from 1 species